rnacentral:rRNA from 1 species
AUUGAACGCUGGCGGCAUGCCUUACACAUGCAAGUCGAACGGCAGCACGGGUGCUUGCACCUGGUGGCGAGUGGCGAACGGGUGAGUAAUACAUCGGAACAUGUCCUGUAGUGGGGGAUAGCCCGGCGAAAGCCGGAUUAAUACCGCAUACGAUCCACGGAUGAAAGCGGGGGACCUUCGGGCCUCGCGCUAUAGGGUUGGCCGAUGGCUGAUUAGCUAGUUGGUGGGGUAAAGGCCUACCAAGGCGACGAUCAGUAGCCGGUCUGAGAGGACGACCAGCCACACUGGGACUGAGACACGGCCCAGACUCCUACGGGAGGCAGCAGUGGGGAAUUUUGGACAAUGGGCGAAAGCCUGAUCCAGCAAUGCCGCGUGUGUGAAGAAGGCCUUCGGGUUGUAAAGCACUUUUGUCCGGAAAGAAAUCCUUGGCUCUAAUACAGUCGGGGGAUGACGGUACCGGAAGAAUAAGCACCGGCGAACUACGU